rnacentral:rRNA from 1 species
AGAGCGAACGCUGGCGGCAGGCUUAACACAUGCAAGUCGAGCGGGCGUAGCAAUACGUCAGCGGCAGACGGGUGAGUAACGCGUGGGAACGUACCUUUUGGUUCGGAACAACCCAGGGAAACUUGGGCUAAUACCGGAUAAGCCCUUACGGGGAAAGAUUUAUCGCCGAAAGAUCGGCCCGCGUCUGAUUAGCUAGUUGGUGAGGUAAUGGCUCACCAAGGCGACGAUCAGUAGCUGGUCUGAGAGGAUGAUCAGCCACAUUGGGACUGAGACACGGCCCAAACUCAUACGGGAGGCAGCAGUGGGGAAUAUUGGACAAUGGGCGCAAGCCUGAUCCAGCCAUGCCGCGUGAGUGAUGAAGGCCCUAGGGUUGUAAAGCUCUUUUGUGCGGGAAGAUAAUGACGGUACCGCAAGAAUAAGCCCCGGCUAACUUCGCGCCAGCAGCCGC